GGCCCAGAUCGUUUACCGUGAAAAAAUUAGAGUGUUCAAAGCAGGCAGAUUCAAUUUUCUGCCACCGAAUACAUUAGCAUGGGAUAAUGGAAUAGGACCCUGUCCUCCUUUUUUCAGUUGGUUAAUUCAUGAGAGAGGAACAGGGUAAUGAUUAAUAGGGAUAGUUGGGGGCAUUAAUAUUUAAUUGUCAGAGGUGAAAUUCUUGGAUUUAUGAAAGAUUAACUUCUGCGAAAGCAUCUGCCAAGGAUGUUUUCAUUAAUCAAGAACGAAAGUUAGGGGAUCGAAGACGAUCAGAUACCGUCGUAGUCUUAACCAUAAACGAUGCCGACCAGCGAUUAGGAGACGUUGAAUACAAAACACCUCUAUAUAUAAUUCAGUAUAUGGUCAGUCAAAUGGCUGUGUAUUGUUUGUAUAUAGUUUAAUGCCA
rnacentral:rRNA from 2 species